rnacentral:misc_RNA from 1 species
GAGAAGAACGUAGCGAAAUGCGAUACGUAAUGUGAAUUGCAAAUUCAGUGAAUCAUCGAGUCUUUGAACGCACAUUGCGCCCCCUGGUAUUCCGGGGGGCAUGCCUGUCCGAGCGUCAUUGCUGCCCUCAAGCACGGCUUGUGUGUUGGGCCCCGUCCUCCGAUCCCGGGGGACGGGCCCGAAAGGCAGCGGCGGCACCGCGUCCGGUCCUCGAGCGUAUGGGGCUUUGUCACCCGCUCUGUAGGCCCGGCCGGCGCUUGCCGAUCAACCCAAAUUUUUAUCCAGGUUGACCUCGGAUCAGGUAGGGAUACCCGCUGAACUUAAGCAUAUCAAUAAGCGGAGGA